GACGAACGCUGGCGGCGUGCCUAAUACAUGCAAGUCGAGCGGACUGAAUGGGAGCUUGCUCUUGUUCGGUCAGCGGCGGACGGGUCAGUAACACGUGGGCAACCUGCCCGCAAGACCGGGAUAACUCCGGGAAACCGGAGCUAAUACCGGAUAACACCGAAGACCGCAUGGUCUUUGGUUGAAAGGCGGCGCAAGCUGCCACUUGCGGAUGGGCCCGCGGCGCAUUAGCUAGUUGGUGAGGUAACGGCUCACCAAGGCGACGAUGCGUAGCCGGCCUGAGAGGGUGCCCGGCCACACUGGGACUGAGACACGGCCCAGACUCCUACGGGAGGCAGCAGUAGGGAAUCUUCCGCAAUGGGCGAAAGCCUGACGGAGCGACGCCGCGUGAGCGAAGAAGGCCUUCGGGUCGUAAAGCUCUGUUGUGAGGGACGAAGGAGCGCCGUUUGAAGAAGGCGGCGCGGUGACGGUACCUCACGAGGAAGCCCCGGCUAACUACGUG
rnacentral:rRNA from 1 species